UUAAUUGAGAGUUUGAUCCUGGCUCAGGACGAACGCUGGCGGCGCGCUUAACACAUGCAAGUCGAGCGAUGAAAUUUUAACAGAACCCUUCGGGGCGAAGAUAAAAUGGAUUAGCGGCGGACGGGUGAGUAACACGUGAGUAACCUGCCUUAGACAUUGGGAUAGCCUCGGGAAACCGGGAUUAAUACCGAAUAACAUCACAUAGACACAUGUCCUUGUGAUCAAAACUCCGGUGGUCUAAGAUGGACUCGCGUCCCAUUAGCUAGUUGGUAAGGUAACGGCCUACCAAGGCGACGAUGGGUAGCC
rnacentral:rRNA from 1 species